rnacentral:rRNA from 1 species
CUUGCUUCUCUUGAGAGCGGCGGACGGGUGAGUAAUGCCUAGGAAUCUGCCUGGUAGUGGGGGAUAACGUCCGGAAACGGACGCUAAUACCGCAAACGUCCUACGGGAGAAAGCAGGGGACCUUCGGGCCUUGCGCUAUCAGAUGAGCCUAGGUCGGAUUAGCUAGUUGGUGGGGUAAUGGCUCACCAAGGCGACGAUCCGUAACUGGUCUGAGAGGAUGAUCAGUCACACUGGAACUGAGACACGGUCCAGACUCCUACGGGAGGCAGCAGUGGGGAAUAUUGGACAAUGGGCGAAAGCCUGAUCCAGCCAUGCCGCGUGUGUGAAGAAGGUCUUCGGAUUGUAAAGCACUUUAAGUUGGGAGGAAGGGCAGUAAAUUAAUACUUUGCUGUUUUGACGUUACCGACAGAAUAAGCACCGGCUAACUCUGUGCCAGCAGCCGCGGUAAUACAGAGGGUGCAAGCGUUAAUCGGAAUUACUGGGCGUAAAGCGCGCGUAGGUGGUUCGUUAAGUUGGAUGUGAAAUCCCCGGGCUCAACCUGGGAACUGCAUUCAAAACUGACGAGCUAGAGUAUGGUAGAGGGUGGUGGAAUUUCCUGUGUAGCGGUGAA